GGGCUUUUCAUCUCACUGCUUGUGGAGACGCUGAGAUUAACACUUUUUGGGCACACCCAAAUUCUUAUACUAAAUGAGAAAACUUCCUAAAGUCCUUGAAUGUUAAAAAAGGAAUGUUCACAAAGCAAUAACCUGUCUAAUGGUCCAUGGGGACUGGGGUGGAAUAAGGCAGAACAGGAUCCAAUUGACUGGAUCCAGGAAUCCGAAGUGUUAACCUCGGCCUCAGAACCUCCCUGUGCUGCUGAGAACAUCAGGAUAAUCAGUCACCUAAGAAAAUAACCCUGCCAGGAAAAUUAAAGUCUUCUGAUGGAUUCAUUGUUACAUGGUUCACUUUUAUCACUCCAUCUUCUGUCUCCUGUUCUGAGUAAGCAAUCUGCAUUUUGGUGCAGCCUCUGGCCACAGGCUGGCUCAUGGAGGUGGCGUUUGGGGGCAGAGGCUCCCUGGGGCUCCAUGUUCCUCAGGAGAGAGAAACAGCGUGAGCAGGGGAGGGUC